GGUGGUAUAGUCAAGCGGUAAGACGUGGGUCUGCAAAACCCUUAUUGCUCGGUUCGACUCCGAGUGCCACCUCCA
rnacentral:tRNA from 1 species